ensembl:lncRNA
UUCAGAAUGGUUGAUAUGAUUCUGGUUCUAUUAAACACAAAUGUUCUGAUUCGGAAUGGUUGAUAUGAUUCUGGUUCUAUUAAACACAAAUGUUCUGAUUCAGAAUGGUUGAUAUGAUUCUGGUUCUAUUAAACACAAAUGUUCUGAUUCGGAAUGGUUGAUAUGAUUCUGGUUCUAUUAAACACAAAUGUUCUGAUUCAGAAUGGUUGAUAUGAUUCUGGUUCUAUAAAACACAUCUGUUCUGAUUCGGAAUGGCUGAUAUGAUUCUGGUUCUAUUAAACACAUCUGUUCUGAUUCAGAAUGGUUGAUAUGAUUCUGGUUCUAUUAAACACAUCUGUUCUGAUUCAGAAUGGUUGAUAUGAUUCUGGUUCUAUUAAACACAAAUGUUCUGAUUCAGAAUGGUUGAUAUGAUUCUGGUUCUAUUAAACACAUCUGUUCUGAUUCAGAAUGGUUGAUAUGAUUCUGGUUCUAUUAAACACAAAUGUUCUGAUUCGGAAUGGUUGAUAUGAUUCUGGUUCUAUUAAACACAUCUGUUCUGAUUCAGAAUGGUUGAUAUGAUUCUGGUUCUAUUAAACACAAAUGUUCUGAUUCGGAAUGGUUGAUAUGAUUCUGGUUCUAUAAAACACAUCUGUUCUGAUUCAGAAUGGUUGAUAUGAUUCUGGUUCUAUUAAACACAUCUGUUCUGAUUCGGAAUGGUUGAUAUGAUUCUGGUUCUAUUAAACACAUCUGUUCUGAUUCAGAAUGGUUGAUAUGAUUCUGGUUCUAUUAAACACAAAUGUUCUGAUUCGGAAUGGUUGAUAUGAUUCUGGUUCUAUUAAACACAAAUGUUCUGAUUCAGAAUGGUUGAUAUGAUUCUGGUUCUAUUAAACACAAAUGUUCUGAUUCAGAAUGGUUGAUAUGAUUCUGGUUCUAUUAAACACAAAUGUUCUGAUUCGGAAUGGUUGAUAUGAUUCUGGUUCUAUAAAACACAUCUGUUCUGAUUCGGAAUGGCUGAUAUGAUUCUGGUUCUAUUAAACACAUCUGUUCUGAUUCAGAAUGGUUGAUAUGAUUCUGGUUCUAUAAAACACAUCUGUUCUGAUUCAGAAUGGUUGAUAUGAUUCUGGUUCUAUUAAACACAAAUGUUCUGAUUCGGAAUGGUUGAUAUGAUUCUGGUUCUAU